GAGUUCGUUAAAGUACAACCCCUGAAAAUGGCAAAAACAAUACAAAUUUUGCGGAGAAAAUUCAAAAUAACCGACUUCCUGUUGGGAUUUCAGAUAUGGUACCCAGAGACUUUUUUGUAGGUAUUGGUGUGAUACAUGUGUGGACCGAUUUUCGUACAUGUACGUGAAACGUAGCUCGAGGCGCACACCGUUGAACAUUUAUAGGUGGCGCUGUUGAGCCAUUUUGCCACUCCCACUUCUGAAACCCUUAUCAGAUGUAAAUUUUCGCCAGUUCUGAUGCGUAUGCAAAGUUUCAUGACUUUUCGAGUAUGUUUAGGCCCUCAAAAAUGCGAUUCAUUUUGGAGAAGAAGAAGAAGAAUAAUAAUAAAUGCGAUUCAUUUUGGAGAAGAAGAAGAAGAAGAAGAAGAAGAAGAAGAAGAAGAAGAAGAAGAAUAAUUAAAGCUGCAAGCAGCGAUGAACGUGCCCUCGCACCCGGGCUCACCGCCAUUGUGUGGCUUUAGUUAAAAGGUGAACGGUGAGAAAUAUGCAUUUAAAGUCGUAAAUAUAAGUGGAAUAUGUCAAAGUCAUUUAUAUGUGCCAAUUUUCCUGUUGCCAGCAGAUGGCGCUAUCAUUAUAAUGGAAUAUUGGCCUUCAGAUUUGUUCAGGCCAGGACUCUUUUCGAACAUGUGAAGUUUGGGGAAGAUCAAACAUUUUAUGCCUGAGUUACACCAACUUAUCUUCCUUUGGCGAGACAUAAAAUUGUGUCACAGCGCUAUGGACACGCCCUUUAACAAAAACUCAAGAUCUCCGCAAUUCACUAUUGCAAAGGUCUUUAGACUAGACUGACCAGAAAAAAAAUAUUGAUGUCAUAAAAUUUCUAGGAGUAGUUUGUUACGGCGUAAAACAUGACACUUCCUGUUGCCAGCAGGUGGCGCUAUGACUAUAACUGAAUAUGGGCACGUAGAUAUGUUCAGGUCAGAAGUCAUAUCUAACAUGUGAAGUUUGGGGCAGAUUGGACAUUGUAUGUCUGAGUUAGAGCAACUUCCUUUUUCAUGGCGAAACAUCGAAAUUUGUCAGGCCGCCAUGGACACGCCGUUUAACGAAACCUCAAGAUCUUCGCAAUUUAAUAUCGCAAAGGGCUUUAGAUUACACUGACCAAUUUUGGUGUUGAUCUGAAAAAAUCUCUAGGAGGAGUUCG
ensembl:lncRNA